GAUGAACGCUGGCGGCGUGCCUCAAACAUGCAAGUCGAGCGAGGCUAUGAGUUACCGCAAGGUAAGGCAUAGCCUAGCGGCGAACGGGUGAGUAACACGUGGGUAACCUACCUGGAAGACAGGGAUAACGAUUCGAAAGGGUCGCUAAUACCUGAUAAUAUCCAUCUGCCGGAUGGCGGAGGGAAGAAAGGGGAAACCCGCUUUCAGAUGGGCCCGCGUCCCAUCAGCUAGUUGGUAAGGUAAAGGCUUACCAAGGCGACGACGGGUAGCCGGUCUGAGAGGAUGUACGGCCACAAGGGCACUGAGAGACGGGCCCUACUCCUACGGGAGGCAGCAGUGGGGGAUUUUGGACAAUGGGCGAAAGCCUGAUCCAGCGACGCCGCGUGGAGGACGAAGCCCUUCGGGGUGUAAACUCCUUUUCUCAGGGAAAAGGAUGAUGGUACCUGAGGAAUAAGCCCCGGCUAACUACGUG
rnacentral:rRNA from 1 species